rnacentral:tRNA from 1 species
UAUUCUUAAUAAANUACUUCC